CAGUCGCCGCGGGAACACGUAGGGUGCAAGCGUUAAUCGGAAUUACUGGGCGUAAAGCGUGCGCAGGCGGUUAUAUAAGUCAGAUGUGAAAUCCCCGGGCUCAACCUGGGAACUGCAUUUGAGACUGUAUGGCUAGAGUGUGUCAGAGGGGGGUAGAAUUCCACGUGUAGCAGUGAAAUGCGUAGAUAUGUGGAGGAAUACCGAUGGCGAAGGCAGCCCCCUGGGAUAACACUGACGCUCAUGCACGAAAGCGUGGGGAGCAAACAGGAUUAGAUACCCCCGUAGUCCCUGUCUCUUAUAC
rnacentral:rRNA from 1 species